GGGACUGGGAGAGACGACAGCCUUUCCCCAGUGUAAUGUCAAUGUCGGCUAUCACUUUGGCAGAAUCAGCCAGCUCAGUGAAGACGAAAAAAACUUCUUCCUGUUUUUGUUCAUCUGCUGAUGGCAUUCAAAGUGACCUUCCCUUGUAAAUAUUGGUGAUUCCCUCAAGAUCAGGAUUGAGGUACUUUGACAGAACAGUGUGGGGAAGACUGAAGUGCUACUGCAGGUGGAAAGAUUACUCUGCUGAGAUGAGCUCUUAAUUAAUGCACAGAGAGCCUGUGAGUCCCACCUCUCAACAGUAGUGAUUGACAUCCAAGGAUACAUAAAUUACACUAAUUGAGCUUUGCAUCUAUCCAGUCUAUUCACAGCCAACUCAUCAGAGAAGAUUUUUGGAUUGUCUCUGUGUAGCUGGAGUAAUACCAUUGUAUCAGAGAGAAACCGGAGGUCGGGGGAAACAGAAAGAAAGGU